UUUGCCGUGAUGAGCCGUAACACAUAAGAAUACCAAACGAUCAAUUUGGUUAUUCGAUGAAAUACCUUUUUACGCUUGGCUUCUGAGCUGA
rnacentral:snoRNA from 1 species